rnacentral:rRNA from 1 species
UACGUAGGGUGCGAGCGUUGUCCGGAAUUACUGGGCGGAAAGCGUGCGCAGGCGGUCUGUUAAGACCGAUGUGAAAUCCCCGGGCUUAACCUGGGAACUGCAUUGGUGACUGGCAGGCUUUGAGUGUGGCAGAGGGAGGUAGAAUUCCACGUGUAGCAGUGAAAUGCGUAGAGAUGUGGAGGAAUACCGAUGGCGAAGGCAGCCUCCUGGGCCAACACUGACGCUCAUGCACGAAAGCGUGGGGAGCAAACAGG